rnacentral:rRNA from 1 species
UACGUAGGGUGCGAGCGUUAAUCGGAAUUACUGGGCGUAAAGCGUGCGCAGGCGGUUCGGCGAGUCCGAUGUGAAAGCCCCGGGCUCAACCUGGGAAUGGCAUUGGAAACUGGCGGACUCGAGUGUGGCAGAGGGGGGUGGAAUUCCGCGUGUAGCAGUGAAAUGCGUAGAGAUGCGGAGGAACACCGAUGGCGAAGGCAGCUCUCUGGGCUAACACUGACGCUCAGGCACGAAAGCGUGGGGAGCAAACAGG